UACUAAUAUAUCGCUCACACUCUAUUUUUCUUCACAGACUAUUUAUCUUGUAUAGUCUAUGGAAUAUCUCACUUUGCACUCAAAAUGGAUUUUCUCUCUAACUUAGUGUAUUCUACAAAUGAGCAAGAAUACUCUAUUUAUGGAAGAAAUUUACAACUAAUGAUGUCAUCAAUGACAUCAUGAAAAUACUUAAGUUUCAAACUUUGCAACUUAAGUAGUUAUCUUGGUAGAUUUAGUUGGUAUGUUGUUGUACCAAAUUAAGACUUUGACAAUUAAUAUUGGGCUGGAACCCCACAGUACUUACCUUGCACCAGAGCAUACUAUAAUUGGCAGGGCAAUGCCUAGUAGUGAUGUAUUUUCCUUUGGGGCUUUUCUGCUUGAAGUUGCCUGUGGUGGGAGGCCAAUAGAGCCAAGACAAGACGAUGAUGAUCUGAUUUUAGUCGAUUGGGUGGUCUUGUGCUGGAAUAGGGGUAAUAUUCUUGAGGCAGUUGAUCCAAACAUAGGGAUUGAUUUUGUUCCAGGGAAAGUGGAGUUGGUCUUAAAGCUAGGCUUGUUUUGCUCUCAUUCAGAGCCCUCAUUUAGGCCAACCAUGCGACAAAUCUUGCUGUUCUUGGAUGGUGUUGUGGCCUUACCAGAGUUAUCAUCACUCAGUAUUUCAUCAGCUGGUUUAACCAUUGUAUCCAUCUUCAGUAGUUAGUCCACAUUUUCGCUCUCCAUCUGCAAGCUUAAAUAUGUAGUAACUUAAGCUUAGCUACCAUUUAAUUUAGAAGUUACCUUGCUUGGAAGUUUAGCAAACUCAACGACACGGAUUGCCUAGUAAUUUUCUUGUGAAACCUACAUAUCCAAGAUUACAAUUACAAUUACCACCUGAAGACUUCCAACAGCACUUCCAAGCUAAAUCCCAGUCAUCGCGGCAAUGCCACACCAGGCAUGUUGUUGCUGUGGAGUGCUGAGUUUGACAAGCUAUAUAACAACAUGUUAUAUUUGUUACUAUACAAAUAAUGUACUAAUGUACAAGCAGAAUCUCAGUUCUUUGAUCUUUACUGUUAUGUUCUUUUCCCUUUAUAAAUUUUUUUUAAAAUUAAGUUUUAAGUCAACUAUAUGAUGUAGAAUUUCUUCUUUCUGUUCCUUA